AAUAUGGCCGCGCCCACAGACUGCUGUAGUCUGAGUGAUUUGCAAAGGAAAUUAACCGCUUUGCAACAGAAAUUAGACGAAAAGACGAAAGAAUGUGAUGAUCUUAAGAGAGGAAUAAAAACAGAACACAACAAUUCUACAAUAGAGGAUAAGGAUAGGCUAAACUCUUCAUUGUGUGACGGAGAUGGCCGCAAGUGUGGUGUUCCAGAGUCUGUAUCAAGAGGAUAUUACUCAAGAGCCUUAUCUAAUAAAGAAAUUGCACGUUAUAGCAGGCAGUUAAUUUUGCCAGAACUAGGAGUAAAAGGUCAACAAAGAUUACGCCAAUCAUCAGUUCUUCUUGUUGGCGCUGGAGGGUUGGGCUGUCCUGCUGCAAUCUAUCUUGCCGCAGCUGGAAUAGGUUGCAUAGGAAUUGUCGAUUAUGAUGAAGUGGAACUUAGUAAUUUACACAGACAGAUUUUGCACACAGAAGCCCGGAUUGGGUGGGUAAAGUCAACCUCAAUUGCUGAAGCGAUUCACAGCCUCAACUCAACCACCGUCUGCAAUGCAUAUCACCUUGCAUUGAACAGUGACAAUGCCCGACAAUUAGUGGAGAAAUAUGACAUCAUUUUGGACUGCUCAGAUAAUGUUGCUACUCGUUAUCUACUGAAUGACUGCUGCGUGCUGUGCAGUAAGCCUCUUGUAUCAGGCAGUGCUCUAAGAUGGGAAGGACAGUUGACCGUAUAUGGCUGGAAAGGUGGACCAUGUUACAGAUGUUUAUAUCCCAUACCUCCACCUCCAGAGACUGUCACAAACUGCUCAGAUGGUGGAGUUUUAGGAGUAGUGCCAGGCAUCAUAGGCAGCUUCCAAGCCCUAGAGGCAAUUAAAAUGGCUGCUGGAAUCAACACGAGCUUCUCACAGCGUCUCAUGUUGUUUGACGGAUUAGAUGGCAGCAUGAGGUUCAUAAAACUUCGUGGUAGGCAAGACAGCUGUAAUGUGUGUGGCCGUAAUCCGGCCAUCAUGCAGCUACUUGAUUACGAGCAGUUUUGUGGUACGAGUGCAACAGACAAAGAACGAUGCCUCCACCUGCUGAAUAAAGAUGAACGCAUCUCUGCCAAGGAGUACAAAGCAAUGCUGGAAAGAAAAGAAGAUCACAUGCUACUGGAUGUUAGGCUGCAAGUAGAAAUGGACAUCUGCCAACUGCCCAAUUCUUAUAGUAUCCUGAAUAGGUUCCUUAAAUUUACCCAGACAUUCCAAUUGGAGAUUUAAAGAAGGAAUCCAGAAUGAAAGAACUGCAGAAAGUGCUAUUAGAUGGCAAUUCCAAUGCAUUAUUUGUAGUGUGUCACCGUGGCAACGACUCCCAAAAGGCAGUGAGACACUUACAGCAGCAGUUCAAGAAUGAUGACAUUGAAAUCAAGGAU
rnacentral:misc_RNA from 1 species